AGAAUCAACGCUGGCGGCGUGCCUAACACAUGCAAGUCGAACGAGAAAGUGGAGCAAUCCACAAGUAAAGUGGCGCACGAGUGAGUAACACGUGACUAACCUACCCUUGAGUGGGGGAUAACCUAGAGAAAUCUGGGCUAAUACCGCAUAAUACCUUCGGGUCAAAGGAGCAAUUCGCUUAAGGAGGGGGUCGCGGCCGAUUAGUUGGUUGGCGGGGUAAUGGCCCACCAAGACUAUGAUCGGUAUCCGGCCUGAGAGGGCGCACGGACACACUGGAACUGAAACACGGUCCAGACUCCUACGGGAGGCAGCAGUGGGGAAUUUUGCGCAAUGGGGGAAACCCUGACGCAGCAACGCCGCGUGGAGGAUGAAGUCCCUUGGGACGUAAACUCCUUUCGAUCGGGACGAUAAUGACGGUACCGGAAGAAGAAGCCCCGGCUAACUUCGUGCCAGCAGCCGC
rnacentral:rRNA from 1 species